UAGAAAUACCAGUUCCCAUUCAAUCACCGAAGUUAAGCAAUGUCAAGCCUGGUCACUAUCUAGAUGGGCGAUCACUUAGGAAUACCAGGUGCUGUAAG